rnacentral:lncRNA from 1 species
UUAUUAAGAGGGAGCCCAAUAGUUAUUAAGAGGACUAUCAUAUAGGGAAUACAGGCACCAACGAAGACUUAUCUCGCGUGGAAUAAGUAAGAGCCGGAGUUAGUUGGGCUAAAAUGUAUAUGAUCUGAUUGGAUUCCAAAUCUCAUGUAUAUGAUCUAAUUGGAUUAAGGGAAGUAUUGUAUCUAAUGGGUAAUAAGAAUAUAUUAUAUGCUAGGUACAGUAUAUUCAUGUGAAUGAGUUUCUAUAUAAUAGCAUCCAAGAUAUGAUAGUAACUAAAAAACUCACUUAUGUUUUUCCGUUGCUUGAAGAGAGCGUUACCGAAUCUCAUGAUUAUUGAAUACAAGUUCUAGAAGUAAACAAGCAACUCCACUCUACUAUACUAGGAAAGUACCAAGCAAGUAUAUACUAACUAAGUACAACGUGAACCCGUAAUAAGAAGGAGCUUCUCUUGGGCUUUGUUGCUAGUUAUGACUUAGGGGCAGGGAUAGUGAGUUUUCAAGCUUUGCUCUGGUAGGUUAUUCUAAUGCUCUAGUAGGUUUCUCUAUUGCUCUGG